rnacentral:rRNA from 1 species
ACGAACGCUGGCGGCGUGCCUAAUACAUGCAAGUAGAACGCUGAAGGAAGGAGCUUGCUCUUUCUGGAUGAGUUGCGAACGGGUGAGUAACGCGUAGGUAACCUGCCUGGUAGCGGGGGAUAACUAUUGGAAACGAUAGCUAAUACCGCAUAAAAUUGAUUAUUGCAUGAUAGUCAAUUAAAAGGUGCAACUGCACCACUACCAGAUGGACCUGCGUUGUAUUAGCUAGUUGGUGGGGUAACGGCUCACCAAGGCGACGAUACAUAGCCGACCUGAGAGGGUGAUCGGCCACACUGGGACUGAGACACGGCCCAGACUCCUACGGGAGGCAGCAGUAGGGAAUCUUCGGCAAUGGACGGAAGUCUGACCGAGCAACGCCGCGUGAGUGAAGAAGGUUUUCGGAUCGUAAAGCUCUGUUGUAAGAGAAGAACGAGUGUGAGAGUGGAAAGUUCACACUGUGACGGUAGCUUACCAGAAAGGGACGGCUAACUACGUG